GAGAAGAGGAAGGCGGCGGCGCUGGGCGGUGGCUGCGGUUUACACGAGAGCGAGGUGACCCGCCCAGAAAGCUCUGUUGAUGGAUGAUUUAUGCCAUGUUUAUGGAGGGGGAGGACGCCAACUACUAGGAGAAGGAUCAGUUUAGCAAGUACAGGAUGUAAUUCUCUUAUGAUUAUGGAUUGCUGAGAAGCGCAACCUUUUGAUCUUCGAGAACUGCAA